rnacentral:rRNA from 2 species
UGGGGAAUUUUCCGCAAUGGGGGAAACCCUGACGUAGCGACACCGCGUGAGCGAAGAAGCCCUUUGGGGUGUAAAGCUCUGUCAGCUGGAACGAAAAAAAUGACGGUACCAGCAGAGGAAGCAUCGGCUAACUACGUGCCAGCAGCCGCGGUAAGACGUAGGAUGCGAGCGUUGUCCGGAUUCAUUGGGCGUAAAGAGUUCGUAGGUGGUUUGUUAAGUCUGAUGUUAAAGAUCGGGGCUCAACCCUGAGACUGCAUUGGAUACUGGCAGACUUGAGUAUGGUAGAGGCUAGUGGAAUUCCCAGUGUAGCGGUGAAAUGCGUAGAUAUUGGGAAGAACACCGGUGGCGUAGGCGACUAGCUGGGCCAUAACUGACGCUGAGGAACGAAAGCCAGGGUAGCGAAAGGGAUUAGAUACCCCUGUAGU